GACGAACGCUGGCGGCGUGCCUAAUACAUGCAAGUCGAGCGGAGUUUCAAAGUGCUUGCACUUUUGAAACUUAGCGGCGGACGGGUGAGUAACACGUGGGUAACCUGCCUUUAAGACUGGGAUAACAUUCGGAAACGAAUGCUAAUACCGGAUACGCGAUAUGGUCGCAUGACUGAAUCGGGAAAGAUGGAGCAAUCUAUCACUUAGAGAUGGACCCGCGGCGCAUUAGCUAGUUGGUGAGGUAACGGCUCACCAAGGCGACGAUGCGUAGCCGACCUGAGAGGGUGAUCGGCCACACUGGGACUGAGACACGGCCCAGACUCCUACGGGUGCUG
rnacentral:rRNA from 1 species